CUGCAUGCUUUAUACAUGCAAGUCGAACGAAGGCCCUAGCUUGCUAGGUGUCCUUAGUGGCGCACGGGUGAGUAACACGUGGGAACAUACCUCAUAGUACGGAAUAACUGCGGGAAACUGUAGCUAAUACCGUAUAUUCCAGAAAUGGGAAAGAUUUAUCGCUAUGAGAUUGGCCCGCGCAAGAUUAGCUUGUUGGUAAGGUAACGGCUUACCAAGGCUCCGAUCUUUAGCUGGUUUGAGAGGAUGAUCAGCCACACUGGGACUGAGACACGGCCCAGACUCCUACGGGAGGCAGCAGUAGGGAAUAUUGGACAAUGGGGGAAACCCUGAUCCAGCAAUGCAGCGUGAGUGACGAAGGCCUUAGGGUUGUAAAACUCUUUCAUCGGUGAGGAUAAUGACAGUAGCCGAAGAAGAAGGACCGGC
rnacentral:rRNA from 1 species